GACGAACGCUGGCGGCGUGCUUAACACAUGCAAGUCGAACGGAAGGGCCCUGCUUUUGUGGGGUGCUCGAGUGGCGAACGGGUGAGUAACACGUGAGUAACCUGCCCUUGACUUUGGGAUAACUUCAGGAAACUGGGGCUAAUACCGGAUAGGAGCUCCUGCUGCAUGGUGGGGGUUGGAAAGUUUCGGCGGUUGGGGAUGGACUCGCGGCUUAUCAGCUUGUUGGUGGGGUAGUGGCUUACCAAGGCUUUGACGGGUAGCCGGCCUGAGAGGGUGACCGGCGACAUUGGGACUGAGAGACGGACCAGACUGCUACGGGAGGCAGCAGUGGGGAAUAUUGCACAAUGGGGGGAAGCCUGAUGCAGCAACGCCGCGUGCGGGAUGACGGCCUUCGGGUUGUAAACCGCUUUCGCAUGUGACGAAGCGUGAGUGACGGUAAUGGGUAAAGAAGCACCGGCUAACUACGUG
rnacentral:rRNA from 1 species